rnacentral:rRNA from 1 species
CCGGGCCAGGUCCUAGUAUAAGCAUUAUACGGCGAAACUGCGAAUGGCUCAUUAUAUAAGUUAUCGUUUAUUUGAUAGCACCUUACUACUUGGAUAACCGUGGUAAUUCUAGAGCUAAUACAUGCUGAAAAUCCCGACUUCGGAAGGGAUGUAUUUAUUAGAUUAAAAACCAAUGCCCUCUGGGCUCUCUGGUGAUUCAUGAUAACUGCGCGAAUCGCAUGGCCUUGCGCCGGCGAUGGUUCAUUCAAAUUUCUUCCCUAUCAACUUUCGAUGUUUGGGUAGUGGCCAAACAUGGUUGCAACGGGUAACGGAGGGUUAGGGCUCGGCCCCGGAGAAGGAGCCUGAGAAACGGCUACUACAUCCAAGGAAGGCAGCAGGCGCGCAAAUUACCCAAUCCCGACACGGGGAGGUAGUGACAAUAAAUACUGAUACAGGGCUCUUUUGGGUCUUGUAAUUGGAAUGAGUACAAUUUAAAUCCCUUAACGAGGAACAAUUGGAGGGCAAGUCUGGUGAACGUUGCUGGUGCCAGAGAUAGCCGCCCCUCGAUAAAUAAAGCAGCUAGUCGAGUGCUCAUGAAGUGACGGGUGAGCACCGGCGAGACAACCUGGGUCGGGGAAGGCUAAGGGCCCCCGCAUGGGGCCUAUGCUAAUCCCGAGCAGAGCCGGUACUUCGCGGCCUGUGUAGAGCGCGCCAAGGUGUCGGUCCGGGGGGUUCGCAUCCCCCCCGGGCUUAAGGUACGUGCCAAUCCCCUGCGAAAGCAGGGCCCUGCGGACGGAGCACCCGUCAUGCGAAGCCGCAGGGGGCAGGGGCGCCCGCCGGGGCGCCCCCGCCGUGAACGACAGUGGCCAGCAGCCGCGGUAAUUCCAGCUCCAAUAGCGUAUAUUAAAGUUGUUGUGGUUAAAAAGCUCGUAGUUGAACCUUGGGCCUGGCCGGCCGGUCCGCCUCACCGCGUGCACUGGUCCGGCCGGGCCUUUCCCCCCGCGGAACCCCAUGCCCUUCACUGGGCGUGGCGGGGAAACGGGACUUUUACUUUGAAAAAAUUAGAGUGCUCCAGGCAGGCCUAUGCUCGAAUACAUUAGCAUGGAAUAAUGAAAUAGGACGUGCGGUUCUAUUUUGUUGGUUUCUAGGACCGCCGUAAUGAUUAAUAGGGACAGUCGGGGGCAUCAGUAUUCAAUUGUCAGAGGUGAAAUUCUUGGAUUUAUUGAAGACUAGCUACUGCGAAAGCAUUUGCCAAGGAUGUUUUCAUUAAUCAGGAACGAAAGUUAGGGGAUCGAAGACGAUCAGAUACCGUCGUAGUCUUAACCAUAAACUAUGCCGACUAGGGAUCGGACGAUGUUAUCUUUUGACUCGUUCGGCACCUUACGAGAAAUCAAAGUGCUUGGGCUCCAGGGGGAGUAUGGUCGCAAGGCUGAAACUUAAAGG